rnacentral:SRP_RNA from 1 species
GGCUAGGCUAGACUGGGGUGCCAGGCGUCCCCUAUACAGUACACCAGUGCUGUACCGAAAUCGUCUAUAUGCGGAGUUGAAGUUCAGAGAAGGCAUUCUUAGUUCGUUCUUGAGCCGCAGAUUGCCUAUGAGAUUUCGUCCCUCGGGGUCGGAGGUGUCUAAGCGUGCUGCCGGAGGGCAGUAUUCUUAUUCUUUGCCAUGGGCACCGGGUCAGGCCCGGAAGGGAGCAGCCCUACCAUGGACUACUGACGCUCGUGGGGUCGCGGGGUCGAGAAUGUCUGCGGGCAACUCAUUAACAGGCUAAGGUGACGACCCUGAACAUGCCUAGCU